AGGUAAGCUACUAAGAGCGAAUGGUGGAUGCCUUGACUGGUAAAGGCGAUGAAGGACGUACUAGACUGCGAUAAGCUACGGGGAGCUGUCAAGAAGCUUUGAUCCGUAGAUUUCCGAAUGGGGCAACCCAAUGUAUAGAGAUAUACAUUACCUAUAUAGGAGCGAACGAGGGGAAUUGAAACAUCUUAGUACCCUCAGGAAAAGAAAUCAAUAGAGAUUGCGUCAGUAGCGGCGAGCGAAAGCGCAAGAGGGCAAACCCAGUGCUUGCACUGGGGGUUGUAGGACUGCAAUAUGCAAGAGGUAAGUUUAGCAGAACAUUCUGGAAAGUAUAACCAUAGAGGGUGAUAGUCCCGUAUGCGAAAAACAAACCUUAGCUAGCAGUAUCCUGAGUAGGGCGGGACACGAGGAAUCCUGUCUGAAUCCGGGUCGACCACGAUCCAACCCUAAAUACUAAUACCAGAUCGAUAGUGCACAAGUACCGUGAGGGAAAGGUGAAAAGAACUGAGGUGAUCAGAGUGAAAUAGAACCUGAAACCAUUUGCUUACAAUCAUUCA
rnacentral:rRNA from 1 species